GACGAACGCUGGCGGCGUGCCUAAUACAUGCAAGUUGAGCGCUGAAGGUUGGUACUUGUACCGACUGGAUGAGCAGCGAACGGGUGAGUAACGCGUGGGGAAUCUGCCUUUGAGCGGGGGACAACAUUUGGAAACGAAUGCUAAUACCGCAUAAAAACUUUAAACACAAGUUUUAAGUUUGAAAGAUGCAAUUGCAUCACUCAAAGAUGAUCCCGCGUUGUAUUAGCUAGUUGGUGAGGUAAAGGCUCACCAAGGCGAAGAUACAUAGCCGACCUGAGAGGGUGAUCGGCCACAUUGGGACUGAGACACGGCCCAACCUCCUACGGGAGGCAGCAGUAGGGAAUCUUCGGCAAUGGAUGAAAGUCUGACCGAGCAACGCCGCGUGAGUGAAGAAGGUUUUCGGAUCGUAAAACUCUGUUGGUAGAGAAGAACGUUGGUGAGAGUGGAAAGCUCAUCAAGUGACGGUAACUACCCAGAAAGGGACGGCUAACUACGUGCCAGCAGCCGCCGUAA
rnacentral:rRNA from 1 species